rnacentral:rRNA from 1 species
AUGCAAGUCGAGCGCCCUUUCGGGGGAGCGGCGGACGGGUGAGUAACGCGUGGGAACGUGCCCUUUGGUACAGAACAACUGAGGGAAACUUCAGCUAAUACCGUAUGUGCCCUAUGGGGGAAAGAUUUAUCGCCAUUGGAGCGGCCCGCGUUAGAUUAGCUAGUUGGUAGGGUAAUGGCCUACCAAGGCGACGAUCUAUAGCUGGUCUGAGAGGAUGAUCAGCCACACUGGGACUGAGACACGGCCCAGACUCCUACGGGAGGCAGCAGUAGGGAAUCUUGCGCAAUGGGCGAAAGCCUGACGCAGCCAUGCCGCGUGAAUGAUGAAGGUCUUAGGAUUGUAAAAUUCUUUCACCGGGGACGAUAAUGACGGUACCCGGAGAAGAAGCCCCGGCUAACUUCGUGCCAGCAGCCGCGGUAAUACGAAGGGGGCUAGCGUUGCUCGGAAUUACUGGGCGUAAAGGGCGCGUAGGCGGACAGUUUAGUCAGAGGUGAAAGCCCAGGGCUCAACCUUGGAAUUGCCUUUGAUACUGGCUGUCUUGAGUACGGGAGAGGUGAGUGGAACUCCGAGUGUAGAGGUGAAAUUCGUAGAUAUUCGGAGGGACACCAGUGGCGAAGGCGACUCACUGGGCCGUUACUGACGCUGAGGCGCGAAAGCG